rnacentral:rRNA from 1 species
UACGUAGGGUGCAAGCGUUGUCCGGAAUUAUUGGGCGUAAAGAGCUCGUAGGCGGUUCGUCGCGUCGGCUGUGAAAUCCCGAGGCUCAACCCCGGACUUGCAGUGGGUACGGGCAGACUAGAGUGUGGUAGGGGAGACUGGAAUUCCUGGUGUAGCGGUGAAAUGCGCAGAUAUCAGGAGGAACACCGAUGGCGAAGGCAGGUCUCUGGGCCACUACUGACGCUGAGAAGCGAAAGCAUGGGGAGCGAACAGG